CCUGCGGAGGGAUCAUUACACAAAUAUGAAGGCGGGCUGGAACCUCUCGGGGUUACAGCCUUGCUGAAUUAUUCACCCUUGUCUUUUGCGUACUUCUUGUUUCCUUGGUGGGUUCGCCCACCACUAGGACAAACAUAAACCUUUUGUAAUUGCAAUCAGCGUCAGUAACAAAUUAAUAAUUACAACUUUCAACAACGGAUCUCUUGGUUCUGGCAUCGAUGAAGAACGCAGCGAAAUGCGAUAAGUAGUGUGAAUUGCAGAAUUCAGUGAAUCAUCGAAUCUUUGAACGCACAUUGCGCCCUUUGGUAUUCCAAAGGGCAUGCCUGUUCGAGCGUCAUUUGUACCCUCAAGCUUUGCUUGGUGUUGGGCGUCUUGUCUCUAGCUUUGCUGGAGACUCGCCUUAAAGUAAUUGGCAGCCGGCCUACUGGUUUCGGAGCGCAGCACAAGUCGCACUCUCUAUCAGCAAAGGUCUAGCAUCCAUUAAGCCUUUUUUUCAACUUUUGACCUCGGAUCAGGUAGGGAUACCCGCU
rnacentral:rRNA from 1 species